GGCGUGCCUAAUACAUGCAAGUCGAACGAACUUCCGUUAAUUGAUUUGCACUGAAUGAGAUUUUAACACGAAGUGAGUGGCGGACGGGUGAGUAACACGUGGGUAACCUGCCCAGAAGCAGGGGAUAACACCUGGAAACAGAUGCUAAUACCGUAUAACAGAGAAAACCGCCUGGUUUUCUUUUAAAAGAUGGCUCUGCUAUCACUUCUGGAUGGAAUUAGCUAGUUGGUGAGGUAACGGCUCACCAAGGCGAUGAUGCGUAGCCGACCUGAGAGGUAAUCGGCCACAUUGGGACUGAGACACGGCCCAGACUCCUACGGGAGGCAGCAGUAGGGAAUCUUCCACAAUGGACGCAAGUCUGAUGGAGCAACGCCGCGUGAGUGAAGAAGGGUUUCGGCUCGUAAAGCUCUGUUGUUAAAGAAGAACGUGGGUGAGAGUAACUGUUCACCCAGUGACGGUAUUUAACCAGAAAGCCACGGCUAACUACGUGCCAGCAGCCGCGGUAAUACGUAGGUGGCAAGCGUUAUCCGGAUUUAUUGGGCGUAAAGCGAGCGCAGGCGGUCUUUUAAGUCUAAUGUGAAAGCCUUCGGCUCAACCGAAGAAGUGCAUUGGAAACUGGGAGACUUGAGUGCAGAAGAGGACAGUGGAACUCCAUGUGUAGCGGUGAAAUGCGUAGAUAUAUGGAAGAACACCAGUGGCGAAGGCGGCUGUCUGGUCUGUAACUGACGCUGAGGCUCGAAAGCAUGGGUAGCGAACAGGAUUAGAUACCCUGGUAGUCCAUGCCGUAAACGAUGAUUACUAAGUGUUGGAGGGUUUCCGCCCUUCAGUGCUGCAGCUAACGCAUUAAGUAAUCCGCCUGGGGAGUACGACCGCAAGGUUGAAACUCAAAAGAAUUGACGGGGGCCCGCACAAGGUGGAGCAUGUGGUUUAAUUCGAAGCUACGCGAAGAACCUUACCAGGUCUUGACAUCUUCUGCCAACCUAAGAGAUUAGGCGUUCCCUUCGGGGACAGAAUGACAGGUGGUGCAUGGUUGUCGUCAGCUCGUGUCGUGAGAUGUUGGGUUAAGUCCCGCAACGAGCGCAACCCUUAUUACUAGUUGCCAGCAUUCAGUUGGGCACUCUAGUGAGACUGCCGGUGACAAACCGGAGGAAGGUGGGGACGACGUCAAAUCAUCAUGCCCCUUAUGACCUGGGCUACACACGUGCUACAAUGG
rnacentral:rRNA from 1 species